GGCUGAUGAGAGGGGGAGGGAGGAGGAUGCGCUGCGCCGGGAGCUCAGCCGGGUGCGUAAGGAUGGAGAGAAGCUCAGCUCCGGCCUGCGGUCCUGCCGGGAGCGGGCGGCCAGGAUGGAGACCAACAUCACAGCGCUGCAGGAUGAGGUGCGGGGGCUGCGGCGCGAGAGGGCUGAGCUGUCCCGCAGGAACGCAGCACUGCAAGAGGAGCUGGCUCAGGGUGCAGAGCGGGCACUGGGGCUGCAGCGGAGGCUGGAGGAGACGGCGGAGCAGCGGAGAGCGCUGCGGGCACGCGGGGAGCGGUGCGAGGAGCGGCAGCGGGACCUCGAGGCCAUGCUGAGGGACCGUACAGCUGAGUUGGAUGCGCUGCAGCGGCGGUUGGGGCCCCGCACGGCACGGCGCAGGAAGAGCUGAAGCCCCACAGCACCCUCCUGUCCGGCCCCUCUUUGCCAGCAUGGACGCCACACACAGGAUGGCACCGGCCCUACAGCAGCGGGACCCAGCGCUGCCCAUCGCCCCCAGUCCCAGCAGCACUGGGACCAGCAGCAGCUCAGCCCCCCUGCACUCAGCAGAGCAGAGUCGGCACAGCACCAACGACCCUCCCCACGUCCCCUCGUGUCCCCCCCACACCACACUGAGCAGCUGUGCACGCUGCCUACUGGCUGGGGGUGAGCGUUGGUGACCAGUCCUCGCCCUGAGGUUACCCAGAGUCACUCAUUAAUCACUGAUUCUGCCCAUCCACUGAUUAAACGGGAAUGCC
rnacentral:lncRNA from 7 species